AAAAAUUCCGUUAAAAAACGGAAAUAUACCACGUUAUUUCGACGGAAAGUAUCCGUAUAUCCAUGUAUGGUUGUACAGAUGUAUUAUGUACGGAAGUUUUCCGUUUUUGCAGCUAAUUUCUUAAAUACGGAACUUUCCGUUGUAUUAAGAACUGCAGUUCUGCAUGCAGUUAACACGUUAAACCGCCAUUAGUUGUGAUUUUUCAAAAAUAUUUUUGGGCUCACAUUUUUUGGGCACACAUUGCCUCCAAAAAGAAAUAGAUUUAUUUAUAAAAAUUGACAAUUGCAUCUCCUUCGAUUAUUUACGAAAAAGUUGUAAUGGUUUCAUAAAAAGCUAAGUUUAGCUAUGCGUAUAUUGCUAAAAAUAUCCUUGUUGCAACAAGGAUUUUUUAUAACAUUUGCAAUAGUAAAAAAUGUUUGCAACAACGUUUAAAAUAGAAUAUUGUCAAAAAACUAUAUUCUAUUUUUAUUUUCCUUGAUAUUUGCUGUUCAUUAUGAAUAUGCAAUAUCAUCCAAAUGUUUUUGCUUCAUUAGAGUUUAUUCAAAGAUACAUGGUCGACUACAAUCCUGAUAAAGG